rnacentral:rRNA from 1 species
GAAUAUUGGACAAUGGGCGAAAGCCUGAUCCAGCCAUGCCGCGUGUGUGAAGAAGGUCUUCGGAGUGUAAAGCACUCUAAGUUGGGAGGAAAGGCAGUAAGCGAAUACCUUGCUGCAUUGACGUUACCGACAGAAUAAGCACCGGCUAACUCUGUGCCCGCAGCCGAUGUAAUACAGAGGGAGCAAGCGUUAAUCGGAAUUACUGGGCGUAAAGCGCGGGUAGGUUGUUCGUGUAGUUGGAUGUGAAAUCCCCGGGCUCAACCUGGGAACUGCAUCCAAAACUGGCGGGCUAGAGUAGGGCAGAGGGUGGUGGAAUUUCCUGUGUAGCGGUGAAAUGCGUAGAUAUAGGAAGGAACACCAGUGGCGAAGGCGACCACCUGGGCUCAUACUGACACUGAGGUGCGAAAGCGUGGGGAGCAAACA